ensembl:lncRNA
GAAAUACAGAGAGCAAAAAGAACCAAUAUAUGUGCACUUAGGAUUACUGGUCUGUCACUUGGUGUACACUUCACUCACAUUCCAUUGUUCAGAGCAAGUCACCUUACCAGAGGCCCCUGCAGUGCAUCCUGAUCUGCUCAGUGCUAUGAUGCAAGUAAAGAAGAUUUUAACCCUGGAAACAGAAUUUGGUACUGGGGGUUGAACUCAGGACUUCGUGCUUGCUGGGCAGGCACAGUGCCACGGAGCUGCAUGCCCGGCUCUUCCUCUCAACUCCUUUUGAGACAGGCGAAGCCAACUGACCCCAAAUGUAGCUUUUGCAGUUACACCUUCAGACGCUGAUGACAUAGGAUCAACUAGAAACAAACACCCUCUCCUCAAUUCGUACUUACCAAAAUGCUAUCCUUCCUUUGAGAUUCACCAAAAAU